rnacentral:rRNA from 1 species
ACAUGCCUACAAGAUAGAAUUAAUGCACCAGAUCCCAUUAGAAAUCUGCAGUUAAGCGCGCUAGGGAUAGAGUAGUACUAGGAUGGGUGAUCGCCCGAGAAUUCCUAGUAUUUUACAUGCC